UUGCUCUUCAACGAGGAAUGCCUAGUAAGCGCAAGUCAUCAGCUUGCGUUGAUUACGUCCCUGCCCUUUGUACACACCGCCCGUCGCUACUACCGAUUGAAUGGCUCAGUGAGGCCUUGGGACUGGCUCAGAGAGGUCGGCAACGACCACUCAGAGCCGGAAACUUGGUCAAACUUGGUCAUUUAGAGGAAGUAAAAGUCGUAACAAGGUUUCCGUAGGUGAACCUGCGGAAGGAUCAUUAACGAGUUAGGGUCCCUCGCGGCCCGACCUCCCAACCCUUUGUCUACCUGACCACUGUUGCUUCGGCGAGCCCGUCUGUAAUGGACCGCCGGGGGGUACCUUGAUCGGCCCUCUGGUCCGCGCUCGUCGAUAGCCAAACUUUUAAAAUCUUAACCAAACGUGUCUCAAUCUAAGUAUUAUUUGUUAAAUAAAAGCAAAACUUUCAACAACGGAUCUCUUGGUUCUGGCAUCGAUGAAGAACGCAGCGAAAUGCGAUAAGUAAUGCGAAUUGCAGAAUUUCAGUGAGUCAUCGAAUCUUUGAACGCACAUUGCGCCCUUUGGUAUUCCGAAGGGCAUGCCUGUUCGAGCGUCAUUAUCACCCCUCAAGCCCCCGGCUUGGUGUUGGACGGUUUGGUGGAGGCCCCCUCGCGGGGCCACCGCCCCUCCCAAAGACAAUGACGGCGGCCUCGUUGGACCCCCGGUACACUGAGUUCUUCACGGGACACGUAUCGGACACAUGGGUUUACGGGACACGGUCUGCCUCCCCUCAGGGAGAAUCUUUCUAAGGUUGACCUCGGAUCAGGUAGGGAUACCCGCUGAACUUAAGCAUAUCAAUAAGCGGAGGA
rnacentral:rRNA from 1 species